UGGGGAAUUUUGGACAAUGGGCGAAAGCCUGAUCCAGCAAUGCCGCGUGUGUGAAGAAGGCCUUCGGGUUGUAAAGCACUUUUGUCCGGAAAGAAAUCCUUGGCUCUAAUACAGUCGGGGGAUGACGGUACCGGAAGAAUAAGCACCGGCUAACUACGUGCCAGCAGCCGCGGUAAUACGUAGGGUGCAAGCGUUAACCGGAAUUACUGGGCGUAAAGCGUGCGCAGGCGGUUUGCUAAGACCGAUGUGAAAUCCCCGGGCUCAACCUGGGAACUGCAUUGGUGACUGGCAGGCUAGAGUAUGGCAGAGGGGGGUAGAAUUCCACGUGUAGCAGUGAAAUGCGUAGAGAUGUGGAGGAAUACCGAUGGCGAAGGCAGCCCCCUGGGCCAAUACUGACGCUCAUGCACGAAAGCGUGGGGAGCAAAACAGGAUUAGAUACCCUGGUAGUCCACGCCCUAAAACGAUGUCAACUAGUUGUUGGGGAUUCAUUUCCUUAGUAACGUAGCUAACGCGUGAAGUUGACCGCCUGGGGAGUACGGUCGCAAGAUUAAAACUCAAAGGAAUUGACGGGGUCAUAGCUGUUUCCU
rnacentral:rRNA from 1 species